CCACUGGCGGCCUCCUUUGCCUCCGUCCGGCGCCAUGGCAUGUUGGUGUGUUUGGGAGGCACAAUGGCGAGCGGUGGUAUUGGCGGCGCGAGGAGCCUUCCGUGGUGACGCGAGCAUGAUGUGGGCCUGGUUGGGCUGCGUCCCGGGCGGCGUUAAAGAAUUUGUACUUCUUCGGCCUUCAGGAGAUCCACAUCUUCUUCCUUGAUCCAUUACCGCAAGGAUUUCAAGGGCACCAACAAGACCACCAGACAGAUCUGCUUCGUCCUCGCUAACUUCGUUCCUUACGGUGAUGACCAUCAUGGUCCGCUCCCAUCUCAGCGCUGUACUGCCGAGGCUGAAGCUGGCCCCUCUCACCACUCUGGUGGUGUGGCCUCAAGACACUCCGGACGCAGCUGAAGACUCUUCGCUAGCAGUUGGGACAAUUCAAUCGUGGCCUAGGUGGGUGCGGCACAGCUACUCUCAUUCAUCGACUCAGAACUGUCCUGUAUUCGUUCGCAGUGUCCAGAGCAUUGAUCUGCUGGCCUGACCUCGCGGCUGCAUCGCACUCCAAAUGGGGAAUUCGAGGGAUUUUUCCAAAAUCAUCUCAUUAUAUUUUCAGUAUCUUUUGUUUGCUCGGAAGAAAGACCCUUUUUGCAGGCUAACUGUUACAAAAUGAUGCUAAUUGCAUUUGAUUUAUGUUGUUCAGUUCAAAUGUUUGAUAGAUUGUUCCAAGUAUUCAAAAAUUCUUUAUGUUUCAAAUUCUAUAUAUAAGAGAUUUUUUAUAUUAGGCGGGCAGGAUGUUCUCUGUUAAGAGACUAGCAUGUAGGAGAUGGUAAGAAUAUUUUCUCACUACGUAUUCUGUCCAAUAUUACAGUGAAGCAAUGCUUAUAUAAAGGUAAAAUUGUAGAUUGUUUAUGGUUUUUUAGAUUAUUUAUUAUUUUCCCAAAUACAACAUGUAUUGUCUCUACUUGAUUUGGAGAUCAUUGCUCUUCUACGUGGAAUAAGAAUUGCCAGUAUCAUCAAUAGUUAUGCAUAGGAGGAAUUUGAGGACGAACUGAUGUUCUUGGUUUUUUUGCUUUCAUUCAAAUAAAACUCCACGGUUACCUGCGGGGUUUCAGUGGACUUUGUUUUAUCAAGGGCAAGUUUGACCAAUCCAACGAUUUUUCAGGUCAGAGUAGAAUGGACUGAUUUCAUGUUGGGGUAGUUCUUUUGCAUGACAAUAAAAGUUGUUGUUAGUUUAACCUGCCCAAAGCGUAAUUAAUAGCUGUGAUGUACGUUAGAGGCCAUGGUAUCUCUCACUAGGCACUAUCUACCACCAUGCGAAAAGAGUUGGUCCCCUAGAGCAAUGAUUUACCAUCAUUUUGAUUUCUCAAGCACCAAAACUGAAGCCUAAUUAGUAUAUGUGCUAUACAUUAAAACCAUUGUAAAAACUUCAUCUCAAAUCCAUUUCAGCCUUGAAUAUGAUGUAGUCCAUAUUAAUUUCAGGUUCAGUUACUUGUGAUUUGCCUAUUUAUUACAGCUUGCUUUCUGUACACUGGAAAAUAAAAUUAACAUGCAGACACAUAUUAAGGUUUUGAAUUUGAAGAGUCACGGUGGAAUUUAGUUGCACAUUAGCUUAUCAGCACACAAUAAUCUUCUACUUUAAUGAAGUUCAUAAAUAUACCUGGCACAUAUAUGUCUCUUAACAUCUCCUGCAAACUUCUGUUGUAAUCCAUGGAGAAGACCACUCUUGCAAUCUCAAAUUAAAGCACUUUUAUCAACUUCUGCGUGUCAUCUGUGUUAACGCACCUAUCUGAAUAUUUGCAGUGGUAUAUUGUAAGCUGGCAGUUUGGUGCUGAUUGUAUAUGAAAUCACAACACAACCAUGUAGCAGUAUCUUAUGGCAUUACUGUAGUAUGUGAUGGUGUAUGCUGCUUUGUCUUAUUCAUAAGGAUGUUACAAUUUGGAGCAAUGUGAAGGUGUGUGGUUAGUUGUAUACUUUCCUGGGUUUUCUCUUUUUCUUUCCUGAGUUUCUCAAUAUUUGUGGAUCAGAUUCAAAUUGUCAUAUUUCUGUGUGAAGCUAAGUACUACCUGCAUUGUUACUUUAGGAAGCAUUGGCUGAGUGGUUCUACAGACAGAUCAUGGCUUGAAACUUUUUUGUAUGGAAAUUCUAUAUCCGCAAUUGAGUCACCAAAAUAAGUUGCAAUGCAUGUCCUCGAUAUCUUUCUUGCUUUGCUAAAGUCAUGCUACGAAUGGUUGCUCUGAGAUUUUUCAUGUCUAUCACUGUACCGGCCAAAUGUGGAUGACGAGGUGAUCUUGCAAGCAUUGAUAGUAGGGAUUUUUUUCUUUUGGUUUUGCCCUUAUAUUGUUUGUAACGUGUAUUUGUAAGUGGCCCUUCACACUGAAACAUUAUUCUGUUCGCCUAUGUUACGCAAUGGAGAUUAAUAAAAUUGAAGGACAGACGGUUGACAAGGUCGGCGUCUGUUUACCAAGGCCUACUUUUUCUCAUGGGCAAUUCUAUGUCGUUGUGUGAACGGUGACAUCAGUGAAAGGGUUAAUGAUACUUGCACUUGAUGAAAAUGGGGAACCGACUACAGAAACAAGGAACAUAGUGUACCAGGAGGUGCUUGAUAAUCUCUAGGAAGGCCCUUCAUGGUUUAUCUGAUGCAUGGAAGAAUGGAGUUUGUUUCCUAAUCCUCGGUACAAUGUUCGUUGGUGCUACAUAUAGUGCAUGUGUUCCAGCAGGUUUGAGCCAGUUGAUCCCUAGAAGCCGAUGCUACUUACGGUUCGUAGUGGCAUGUUUACAGUUUACAGUCAUGUGUUCCGCCCAUUGAAUUGUUGUUAUGUUGCCUGUUUAAUCCUGUGCUUAUUCAACCGUUGCAGUCCCUCUUGGCUAUAGACUUGAAAUAGUUGGUUCUGAAGUGCAAGUA